AUCCAGCUGACGAGUCUCAAAUAGGACGAAACGUGUGUGAUACUGGAU
rnacentral:hammerhead_ribozyme from 1 species